rnacentral:lncRNA from 1 species
UAGUGAUUAAUAUAAAUAUUAUAAUAUUAUAAUAUAUAUUUUCUUUCAAAAUUUAUAUGUACUAUUCGUGAUUUUGUGUAAUAAAAUGAUUAAGUUUAUUUAAUGAUUAAUAUAAAUGUUAUAAUGUUAUAAUACCAAAUUAUAAUAUAGUUGUAUUUGCAAAAAAAAUUAAUUUAGAAUUUUAAACGUCAUAAUUUACAUAUACCUACUGUCUAAUUAUAAAGUUCGUAUAUAUAUCGAAGAAUAUAGUACAUUUGUGUGAAUCAUUUUUUUUCUUUUGUUUAACGAAAACACUUUCGUAAUGUUCCGAUUUUUUGUACUAAGUAUCAUGAUUAAAAAUUAGUGAUUAAAUAGUUGAUAUUAGGAGUGUUUGGUAAUAUUAAUAUGUUCGUGAGUUCAUGUAGUUUUAAUUUUGAUGUGUGCGUAUACUAAGAUAAUUUUUAUACUUUUGUACGUUUUAGUAUGUAUAAUGUUAGCAAACUGUACUCAAUACGUUAUUAUGAAUGAUAUUAUAUGUCUCAUGUGUGUUUUUCUUCAAACUGUUUGUGUAUUUUUUUUUUUUUUAACAAUAGGUAUUAUUGUAUUACACAAUAGUUAUUCGUUUCACGUGUUUUAAUCUAAGAACGAAAUCAAUAAGCUGUUUAAUUAUAUUGAAGCCAUUCUAUCAAACAACAAACAGUUCACCAGAUCUAUGGUCUUAGCAUAAUAGUGACCGUACAUUAUAUUAUACUAAUAUCAAAGAUUAAACGUAAGACAUAAUUUUGGUCAUAGUUUUAGAAUCACUACAUGAGGCUUGCCACUCCAAUCUUUAAUAUCAUAUUAGCACACAAAAGAAAAUGUUUUCUAAUAUUAACACAUAAUAGUUAACUCAAGUAUAAUUUUUUUGUAAAGAAACAACACAUCAAUAUCUGUUAAAGAAUCAAUAAGUAUACAAUGGAUUCCCGAUGAUACUGGAAUAUGAGAGCAAAACUAUUAGAUAGAAAUCUUUAUAUAUGAAGGUUAAAAGAAGUUAGACAAUCAUUCAAAUCCAUUUUUCAUUUUAUAAAACGUGAGAAGCAACAGAUGAUUUGACACACUUAUUAUUCCUGCAAAAUUUUCCACAAAUCAAGCAUAAUAAUCAUUAUAAUAUGAAAUCAAUAUUCUAAACUUUUCUAGAAUUUGAAUAUUAAAUAGGAAGCAUGAACGGAUUUGAAAAAACAAAACUUUGUUGAUGUCAAAAAAAAAAAGACCUUGUAAGAUUUGAUUUAUUGUUUGCUAGUGUAUCAAAGAGCAUAGUAUGAAAAGUAAAGAAAAAAAAGAGCAUCGUAUGAUUGGGUUGAUUUUGUUAUUCUAGACGUGUUAUUUAUAGAGUUUUCUUUGUGUUGAUAGAAUUAUGUUUGAUAUCAUAUCUAAAAUGAUUUAUUGAGCGAACAAAAUAUCUUUGAAAAUAUAUACAUAUUAAAGCUAAGUAUAUACAGUAGUUAGAUAUGAAAUAUCCCACUAAAUUUUCGUUAAUAAUAAUCAUUUAGUUUCUAUUUCAUGUAUAUAUUUAAUUUUGAAUUUGCUUGGAUUGUUAAGUUGGCAUUUAAUUAGCUUACGUUUCCUCUCUCUUAUUUAUUUUAAAUUCGUUUUAAUUGAUUUUUAUCAUUAAUUAGUCAUACUCAUUACGGCAAUAUAGGGAAAUACUACCUAAUUUUGUUUAAUUGUUUUAAAGGAUAUACAAUCGUUAUUAUUGUAUAUUGUACUAAUAAACCAUAAUUCAUGCAUUUAUGGAUUGCGAAAUCUUAACAAAAUUAAUUCUCUCAUAAUUAAUGUGUUUUUUAUUAGAAUUAAUUAUGAGUAACAAUCGGAUUUAUUUGUGGAAACGGUUUAAUGAGGAUUUCCUUAAACACAAUCGGAAUAUUACUUUUAUUUCUUUUUUAAAAACGAUUAAUGAGGAUCCAAGAACUGAAAUCGGGUUUUAAUUUUAGAAUAUAAACCGACCCGAUUUUAAGUUUUACACUAUUAACCUUAAUGACCUUUAGUUAAUAGUUUAAAUAUAAGGGUAUUUUGUGGCAAAUAAUGAAAUAAAAAGAUGGCC